AUUGAACGCUGGCGGCAUGCCUUACACAUGCAAGUCGAACGGCAGCGGGGGAGAAGCUUGCUUUUCCUGCCGGCGAGUGGCGAACGGGUGAGUAAUACAUCGGAACGUGCCCUGUAGUGGGGGAUAACUAGUCGAAAGAUUAGCUAAUACCGCAUACGACCUGAGGGUGAAAGUGGGGGACCGCAAGGCCUCAUGCUAUAGGAGCGGCCGAUGUCUGAUUAGCUGGUUGGUGGGGUAAAGGCCUACCAAGGCGACGAUCAGUAGCUGGUCUGAGAGGACGAUCGGCCACGCUGGGACGGAGACACGGCCCAGACUACUACGGGAGGCAGCAGUGGGGAACUUUGGACAAUGGGCGAAAGCCUGAUCCAGCAAUGCCGCGUGUGUGAAGAAGGCCUUCGGGUUGUAAAGCACUUUUGUCCGGAAAGAAAUGGCUCUGGUUAAUACCUGGGGUCGAUGACGGUACCGGAAGAAUAAGGACCGGCUAACUACGUGCCAGCCGCCGCCGUAA
rnacentral:rRNA from 1 species